rnacentral:rRNA from 1 species
GAUGAACGCUGGCGGCGUGCCUAAUACAUGCAAGUCGAGCGAACAGACGAGGAGCUUGCUCCUCUGACGUUAGCGGCGGACGGGUGAGUAACACGUGGAUAACCUACCUAUCAGACUGGGAUAACUUCGGGAAACCGGAGUUACUACCGGAUAAUAUACUGAACCGCAUGGUUCAAUAGUGAAAGACGGUUUUGCUGUCACUUAUAGAUGGAUCCGCGCCGCAUUAGCUAGUUGGUAAGGUAACGGCAUACCAAGGCAACGAUGCGUAGCCGACCUGAGAGGGUGAUCGGCCACCCUGGAACUGAGACACGGUACAGACUCCUACGGGGGGCAGCAGUAGGGAAUAUUCCGGAAUGGUCGAAAGCUUGACGGAGCAACGCCGCGUGAGUGAUGAAGGUCUUCGGAUCGUAAAACUCUGUUUUUAGGGAAGAACAAAUGUGUAAGUAACUAUGCACGUCUUGACGGUACCUAAUCAGAAAGCCACGGCUAACUACGUG